CCUCGCCUGGCGCCUCGAGCGCCUUUAACAACACUGUAGGCAACACAACCCACUUUAGCCUGAAAUGUGCCGUAAAACCUGGCUGCCAACUUGAAAUUCUUUCUUUGCAGCUUGAGGUAAACCAGGUCCCCCACUUGAAAAGUCCUCUCAGAUCUCUUCCAAUUAGCAUGCUACUUCAUCCCAUUUUGAGCCAUCAACAAAUUCUCCCUAAUUAACUGAGACAUGUACUGCCUAUCCUGCACAAAGUCAGCAAUAGCACCUACAGUAGUAUUAUCCAAAGGUAGGAAUGUGUUGCAAAUGCUCAUCCCAUGAAGAACUAUAAAUCAAAAUAUAAUCAAAGAAUACCAGAACAAACUUCCUUAGAAAGGGCUAAAAAAUGUGGUUCAUAGGAGCUUGAAAUGCAGCUGGAGCAUUUGUUAUCCCAAAGGGCAUGACAGUAAACUCAUAGUGCCCAUGAUGUGUUCUAAGGGCUGUCUUAUGGACAUAUGAGGAAUCAUUCUGAUUUGGUGGUAUCCAGCUUUCAAACUAAUCUUAGAAAAGUUUGAAGCACCAUGAAGCUCAUCUA
rnacentral:misc_RNA from 1 species